rnacentral:rRNA from 1 species
CAGCAGUCGCCACGGUAAUACGUAGGUGGCAAGCGUUAUCCGGAAUUAUUGGGCGUAAAGCGCGCGUAGGCGGUUUUUUAAGUCUGAUGUGAAGGCCCACGGCUCAACCGUGGAGGGUCAUUGGAAACUGGAAAACUUGAGUGCAGAAGAGGAAAGUGGAAUUCCAUGUGUAGCGGUGAAAUGCGCAGAGAUAUGGAGGAACACCAGUGGCGAAGGCGACUUUCUGGUCUGUAACUGACGCUGAUGUGCGAAAGCGUGGGGAUCAAACAGGAUUAGAUACCCCUGUAGUCCCUGUCUCUUAUAA